CUUAUUUUGAUAAAGCCGGGUGUUUUUAUUUAGAAAUGCGUAUGAUUUAAGUCUAUUAUCCAAGCAGAAGCUUUGUUUGAAAGAGAGUUUUGGACAUGGAUGCUUCAGCCUUAAAUUUAAAUGAACUUUUCAACAAUCUGGAUGUGGUGGAGCAUAUCACCGGUUUUUUGGACUGCAAGGACCAAUUGACAUUGGCCAGAGUGUGCUCUCAAUUCCAUGUAAUCAUAGUCGAUUAUGUUUGGAAAUGUAAAUACCGUCAGUUGGAAAUAUGCUUUGACACCGACGACACUUAUGCCAUUAAUAACUCUCCUCGUAGUUGGGAGGAAAUUUGCGUGGACCAGAAUUGCAUAGACUAUGAACAUAAAGAAAAUCGCUUCUUUUUGGAUCAAUCAGAUGUAAAGGAGUUCCUUCAGUUGAAUAGAAAUACUAUUGAAAAUUUCUCACUUAUUUGCUUCAACCUCAAAUAUGCUGAAUUGGAUUUGGACAUAGCAUUGCCAAAUAUGACAACAUUGCUAUUGCAUGGCAUUCCUUUGAGUGAUAACAAUUUAAAAUAUAUUGCCAGAAACUGUCCCCAUUUGGAAGUCUUGAUUUUAUGGUCAUGUUCCAAUUCUGAAAAGCAAAAGAUGAUCAUAGGGCAGGACAUCGAAACAAGAACUCUGACCCAAUUAACCAAACUAAAGUCGUUUGUUUUAAAACAGCCUGGUUCAAGCAGACCAAGUGAUGAACAUGUCUACAAAUACGAACAUCUACAGGAUAUAUUGGAAACUUUGAAAAUUAAACACAUCCAUCUGGAGGAAAAGAUUGUCUAUCCAUUAAUACUUACCUUGUAUCGUAACGAAAUCAGACGAAGUGGUGGUAUAAUACGGCAUGAGCGUCAGAAAGCUACCGCCGUUGCACCAGAUACUAGAACAAAUCCCUGCGAAGAGUUGGUCAUUGGUUCAUUCCAGGACACCGUUAACUUUGUACAAUUUAGUGACGAUUUCCUGCAGAGCUAUGCUAAUCUUACCAAUCUGACCAUUGAAGGAGAUAUUGGUGCAAUGCACGAUGCCUUUUGCAUACACAGACAAUUUUUCAAAACUGCUAUGGCACGCUGCAAGGGACUAACGAAGCUUAAGAUUACCUAUGCCAAGAUAAGCAACUUUAUUCCCAUAGAUACGCUAACACAACUCAACCUUUACGAAUGCAAAGCAUUGUCAUGGACGAAUUUAACACAAAUUCUAAGUGAAAUGAAUUUAAUUUCAUUUGCCACCUACAGGACCUACUAUCGUGGCAAGAUAGAACCAAUAAGAGUCUCGAAAUCUUUGCGACACUUUGAAUUUGAUUUUCCCAAAAGAUUUCUUACGGGUGUUUUUGAACAACAAUUUGAACACUUGACUUCUUUUACUUGGAAGAAUUACCACGAUGACAGCACACAUGAUAUUGCCUCGUUUUUCUCGGAGUUAAAGGACCUGGAAUUACUGGUACUAGAGACAAUUGAUGAUGGCGUAUUCGCAUUGAAUGCUCUUCGCAAGAUAAAAAUAAUUUUUAACAUAAAUAUGUCUACCAUACUGAAACUCUUGAGGCAUAAUACCCUGGAAAUGUUAAUCUUUAGUGUUAUACAAGAUGAUAUAGAGGAUGUGGAACAAUUUAAGGCCACUAAGACCAAUUUACUUCACCUCAAUAUUUAUACCACAGCAUUUACAGCGAAAAUUGAUUUUUGGCUUGAAUUACUGGCAUUAAAUCCCAAAUUGACCAUAGUGAGUAGAGGAUUGAGAUUGGACUCUGAGGAAAAUAUUUUUGUAAAAUUAGUACAAAGUUCCAAAUUUCCAAGGAAAUCCUUCAAUGUUGGCGGUUUCACAAUUGUGUACCAUAUAUUCCCAAAUUAACAGAGAACAAUGCUUGGGCACCAAACAGAGAAAUCGAAAAAAAAACAACAAUCGCAUACAAAUCAAACCACACUACAAAAGCUGUUCACAACAACAACUACCAAAGCAGACCAACUCCAACUAGACAAUGUAGUUUACGAAUUGACGUGCAAUGGCAAAGAAGGGGAACAAUGCAAUAUGUGUUGUGUGGGCACAACUCGGCGAAAACUGAAAAUACGAAUGGCAGAACACGAAGCAGACAUCAAGAAAGGCAGAGAAAGCACAGCUUUAUCACAACAUAUUAAAGAGACGGGACACAACAUUGACUUCAAAGCUGUCAGAAUUCUUGACAGAGAGAGAAAUGAAAAUAAGAGGUUACGCCGAUUUGAAAAACAACUUUGAAGCAACCAUGGAGAAAAUUAAGAAAAUCGAGAAAGUUGUUUCGACUUGGUCCUUCGGCAA